GUGUCCGGGUGAUCCCGGUGUCUCGGUCUCUGCCGGUGUUUCGGGUGUUCCCGGUGUCCCACUCUCUGUUCCCGGUCCCUCCCGGUGCGGUUACAGGAGCGAAUAUUGGGGCUCCACUUUCCUCCCCGCGUGUUCACACAGCGCCCGGUGCUAACAAGUCAUCCCUGCUUCACCGCUGAUAAAGGAGAACAUCAUUUGCUGAUAAAAGCUGUGGUCAAGGACCACCCGCUACCUGUGCCAAUGCCAUGGUGAUCUCUGAAAAGUGAUGCUCUCAGACCUGAAAGCUGAUCCCGAAGCUCUGAUCCUGCCCAGCACAGGUGUCCAGUCUUGCUCAUGGAGUCACAAGGCUAAAAAUGAUAAGUAGAGCAGGGAUACUGGAAUCUGAUCUUCUGGUGAGGAGAGCAUUUGCCUCAUGGUUGCCAAGUCAUUCUCAUCUAACAUGUCAGACUAGUGCAAUCUCUCUGCUAAGUAAAUUGUACUGUUUCUUUACCC